GACGAACGCUGGCGGCGUGCCUAAUACAUGCAAGUCGAGCGCAGGAAACUGACGGAACUCUUCGGAGGGAAGGCAGUGGAAUGAGCGGCGGACGGGUGAGUAACACGUAAGGAACCUGCCUCAAGGAUUGGGAUAACUCCGAGAAAUCGGAGCUAAUACCGGAUAGUUCAUCGGACCGCAUGGUCCGUUGAUGAAAGGCGCUUCGGCGUCACCUUGAGAUGGCCUUGCGGUGCAUUAGCUAGUUGGUGGGGUAACGGCCCACCAAGGCGACGAUGCAUGGCCGACCGGAGGGGGUGAUCGGCCACCCUGGGACUGAGACACGGCCCAGACUCCUACGGGAGGCAGCAGUAGGGAAUCUUCCACAAUGGGCGAAAGUCUGAUGGAGCAACGCCGCGUGAGUGAUGAAGGUUUUCGGAUCGUAAAACUCUGUUGUAAGGGAAGAACACGUACGAGAGGGAAUGCUCGUACCUUGACGGUACCUUACGAGAAAGCCACGGCUAACUACGUGCCAGCAGCCGCGGUAA
rnacentral:rRNA from 1 species